UGGGGAAUAUUGCACAAUGGGCGCAAGCCUGAUGCAGCCAUGCCGCGUGUAUGAAGAAGGCCUUCGGGUUGUAAAGUACUUUCAGCGGGGAGGAAGGGAGUAAAGUUAAUACCUUUGCUCAUUGACGUUACCCGCAGAAGAAGCACCGGCUAACUCCGUGCCAGCAGCCGCGGUAAUACGGAGGGUGCAAGCGUUAAUCGGAAUUACUGGGCGUAAAGCGCACGCAGGCGGUUUGUUAAGUCAGAUGUGAAAUCCUCGGGCUCAACCUGGGAACUGCAUCUGAGACUGGCAAGCUUGAGUCUCGUAGAGGGGGGUAGAAUUCCAGGUGUAGCGGUGAAAUGCGUAGAGAUCUGGAGGAAUACCGGUGGCGAAGGCGGCCCCCUGGACGAAGACUGACGCUCAGGUGCGAAAGCGUGGGGAGCAAACAGG
rnacentral:rRNA from 1 species